UAACGGCGAGUGAAGCGGCAACAGCUCAAAUUUGAAAUCUGGCGCAAGCCCGAGUUGUAAUUUGCAGAGGAUGCUUCUGGGCAGCGGCCGGUCUAAGUCCCUUGGAACAGGGCGUCAUAGAGGGUGAGAAUCCCGUAUGCGACCGGCUGGCACCCGUCACGUAGCUCCUUCGACGAGUCGAGUUGUUUGGGAAUGCAGCUCUAAAUGGGUGGUAAAUUCCAUCUAAAGCUAAAUACCGGCCAGAGACCGAUAGCGCACAAGUAGAGUGAUCGAAAGAUGAAAAGCACUUUGGAAAGAGAGUUAAAAAGCACGUGAAAUUGUUGAAAGGGAAGCGCAUGCAACCAGACUUGUCGGCGGUGUUCCGCCGGUCUUCUGACCGGUCUACUCGCCGCCGGCAGGCCAGCAUCGUGUGGGUGCGCCGGAUAAAGGCGCCGGGAAUGUGGCCCCUCGGGGUGUUAUAGCCCGGCGCACAAUACGGUGCCGCCCGCGCGAGGUCCGCGCUUCGGCUAGGAUGCUGGCGUAAUGGUCGUAUGCGGCCCGUCUUGAAACACGGACCAAGGAGUCUAACAUCUGUGCGAGUGUUCGGGUGUCAAACCCCUACGCGGAAUGAAAGUGAACGGAGGUGGGAGCUUCGGCGCACCAUCGACCGAUCCUGAUGUCCUCGGAUGGAUUUGAGUAAGAGCAUAGCUGUUGGGACCCGAAAGAUGGUGAACUAUGCCUGAAUAGGGUGAAGCCAGAGGAAACUCUGGUGGAGGCUCGCAGCGGUUCUGACGUGCAAAUCGAUCGUCAAAUUUGGGUAUAGGGGCGAAAGACUAAUCGAACCAUCUAGUAGCUGGUUCCUGCCG
rnacentral:rRNA from 1 species